UACGAAGGGGGCUAGCGUUGCUCGGAAUCACUGGGCGUAAAGCGCACGUAGGCGGAUUGCUAAGUCAGGGGUGAAAUCCUGGAGCUCAACUCCAGAACUGCCUUUGAUACUGGCGAUCUCGAGUUCGGGAGAGGUGAGUGGAACUGCGAGUGUAGAGGUGAAAUUCGUAGAUAUUCGCAAGAACACCAGUGGCGAAGGCGGCUACCUGGACCAGCACUGACACUGAGGCACGAAAGCGUGGGGAGCAAACAGG
rnacentral:rRNA from 1 species